rnacentral:rRNA from 1 species
UACGUAGGGCGCAAGCGUUGUCCGGAAUUAUUGGGCGUAAAGAGCUCGUAGGCGGUUUGUCGCGUCUGCUGUGAAAACCUAAGGCUCAACCUUGGGCUUGCAGUGGGUACGGGCAGACUAGAGUGCGGUAGGGGUGACUGGAAUUCCUGGUGUAGCGGUGGAAUGCGCAGAUAUCAGGAGGAACACCGAGUGGCGAAAGGCAGGUCACUUGGGCCGCAACUGACGC